CAAAAUGCGAUACUUGGUGUGAAUUGCAGAAUCCCGUGAACCAUCGAGUUUUUGAACGCAAGUUGCGCCCGAAGCCAUUCGGCCGAGGGCACGUCUGCCUGGGCGUCACGCAUCGCGUCGCUCCCACCAUGCAUUCCUUUGGGAUGCUUGGAUSGGGGCGGAUAC
rnacentral:rRNA from 1 species